rnacentral:rRNA from 1 species
AUACGGAGGGUGCAAGCGUUGUUCGGAAUCACUGGGCGUAAAGGGCGCGCAGGCGGUUUGGUAAGUCAGAUGUGAAAGCCCACGGCUCAACCGUGGAAGUGCAUUUGAAACUGUCAGACUUGAGUACUAGAGGGGAAAGUGGAAUUCCCGGUGUAGAUGUGAAAUUCGUAGAUAUCGGGAGGAAUACCGGUGGCGAAGGCGACUUUCUGGCUAGAUACUGACGCUGAGGCGCGAAAGCGUGGGGCGCGAACAGGAUUAGAAACCCUAGUAGUCC